UUGGCUUUGUGAGAAGGGUUGAGGUCAGCUCCCUCGCAAAUAAAAUGAGAUGUUACGAUAGAAACGUUCCAUCAAAUCAGUAAUGGCACAUACCAAUCACUGAAACCAGAGAAAUCCAACCACCACUGAAACAUCAGAGAUGUACUACACAAUAGUCACAUAUGUUCCCACCAGCAUAUUGCAUCUUGCCAGAAAAGGUAUCAAUUCCAUUUCAGAAAAGAUAUUGAUAUACAGUUAUAAAAAUCUGGUUGUCCCAAAGGUUCUAGACAGGCACGAAAGAGAAUAGAAUACGCACUGAGACACAAAUGAUACUGCACCAUGGAUAGCACAAGCUUUGAUCUGACAUCCAUCGUCUCUCAAACCCACCACCACCGGCAGCGGCAACAAGUAUGCAAGUAGAAGACUUGUUGCACCAGCAGCAGCAGCAGCAACAGCAAUGAGGGGCUACACGUACAAGGAGCAUCUAACAUCACCGUUCGAGAGCAGCGACGGCAAACAUUAUGAUUCCCCAAAUAUAUUGCACAACCUGCGGAAAGAGGAAAUGAAAUGAAGUGUAUAAAUAUAUCGAAAAAUGAACCACACAGGGGCUGUUAUGCCUGUCAGGGGUUGAUCUUAUGCCUUCAGAUCUAAUACAUUUUGGCCUUCCUAAAUGGUUCAAGAGAUGAUCAUCAUGGGUUAUGAAAAAUCAACACAAAAAAGCAGUCAUGAAAUCUGCUAGCACAUAAAAUGGAGUCAAAGGGACGUAUCAGGUAGGGCAGAGGCAGCGAUAACAGUACACGUGAGCAAGGCAAAUGGGAGCAGAGAAGCAGGGCCAUGCAGCAUAUCCUCCCGUAGGGAGGUUCCAGUCCGAUAAUAUAACAUAAUAAAAGACAAUGUGCAGAAAAGCUGUCUGUUUUAAAGUAUGACCAUGCAAGAGAGUUCGAAUAAUUCCGAGAAUUCUGAAUCACAACAUGGCCCUCAGAUUUCAGUUUCAUCAUAGGCUAAUGCAAUGGGCUUCAAAGCUGGCACUGGGGCAUGUCUGGGUGAAAUGAAGAGGAGGCAAGGCGAUGGCGGCGACGAGGAGGAGAGGUAGACCUGCAGCAAGAGCCGGCCCAUCACUCAGUGGUAGGGCUUCCGCAGAAGCAACGGCUGAUCCAGACACAUGCCCCAGCGCCCAGAACAGAGAAGCAAGCGCUGCAUUAGCCAUUUCGGGGGCUUCAACCUUACGAAUGCAAUGGCUGACCCCGUUUCGAGCUCAAAUCUGAGCCAAUCUAUCUAUCCAUCCCCACAUGGGGCUUUAACCAUCAUCAUUGGGCCAAGGGAAAAUCCAUGCAGCAAGCAAAAAUAUAGUUAUGGACCAAACAAACAACGAAAUUAAAUCCGAACCGAGCUUGAUCAAAACAAAUAAUCAAACCACCAGAAAACCGAAUAAUUGAGAAGGAAAAUAGCCGUAGGAGACUUGUUGUGCCACCAGCAGCAGCAGGGGGAAUGAAGGGGCCACAGGAGGACCAUCACAUUAACACUCAUUCAAGAGCAGCAAACAGAAAGAUUAUGAUCCCAUACUGUACAGCCUGAGGAAAGAGGAAAUGAAAUAAAAAGUACAAAAUGGAUCAACAACAGUUGUCAAGAAAUCUGCUAGCUCACAAAAGAGAGUCAAAGGGAUGUAUCAGGUAGGGCAGAGGCAGCGAUAAUAACAGAGAUGGGGAAGGGAUGUUAGUGACCUCGUGCCGUCAAUCAAUCAUCAAAGCAAACAGAAAGAAAGAAAGAGUGGAAGCAGAGAGAUGACCCUUCCACAUGAACAGCAGGCCAAUCUGUCAGUUUUCACCUGAUCCCCACUUUCCAGGAGCAUGCUUCAGCGCCCAGAACAGAAGAAGCCAACGCUGCAUUAGACAUUCCAAGAGCUUAGACCUUGCAAAUGCAAAGGGCAGCCGCAUUUAAGCACAACCAAAGUCAGUCUACUUUCCAUCUAUCAAUCAUCCUGGGGCCAAUGGUAAAUCCGAGCAACAAUACAGUGCAAAAACAAACAGACCAGCAAAGCCUAUCUGUGCCUAGAUCAGAUAAAGAAAUGGAAACAACAACACCACAAUAUUGGUGUGUGGGUUGGCGGUACGACAGGAAGGAGAAAUUUGAAGCACAAAUCAUAAACAUACCAAUUUGAACCACUAAUAAACAUUGCAGAGAGAAACCAGCAACACUUAAGCCACUUCAAAAUCUUCACCCUAUAAAGGGCUACCACUUGGAGAUCGGAACUCAAUUCCAGUGAUCUCUCCUGAUAAAUCAUCAAACUAAGAAGAUUUUCCUCUGCUGAGAGUAAAACCAUAAACUAAAAGGGUACUAGAAAUGUAUGAAGAAAUCAACCACACUUGAUCAUAAUCAGAUGAAACCAUAGCAAAUGCAGAAAAUGAUGUAAAAUCUAAACAUAGGAGGCAACAAUGCCAAUUACGGGUCCCCAUCAAGCCAACGGAGACGGAUCUGGAAGAUGGAACUGAAAAUAAAUAAAACAACCAAAACUUAGCUGGCAAUUUGUACAAGGUAUGAGAAAGAAACAUCAUGCCCUCAGGUGCCAUAGAUGUAGGUAGAUGUAGGAUGUAAUGUUCACUGAUGGCACAAGAAAUGAUCUUCCUUUUGUCCACAAGGUCAUGUGAAAGGUUGAUCUGCUGUUGCUGCUGCUGUUGUUGCUGCUGCUGCUGCUGCAUGCGUGAUUACGCAUCCAGAGAGAGAGAGAGAGAGAGAGGUGCGGGGGAGAGGAUCAUGUAAGUGACAUCUCUACAUUUUCAGUUUUCAUCAUUGGGCAAUGCAUUAUAGAAGCCAACAUUUCAAUGAUUCUAUCCCCCACCCAAAACGAAUGAAUCAAGAUUCUGUCAAAAUAGAAAUUUAGUGCAAGCCACAGGUUCACAAUUGGGAUAUUAAUUGGGUCAAGGUGUAAUAUGAUGUUUCAUAAAGAGGCAUCGGAAAACUGAUAAAGAAGCAGAAAGAAAAUCAACAAGCAUUGACAAGACAUUUGAUCACUGAAUACGUAGCAUGUCACAUUUACUACAGAAGAACUAACCUACAUCUGAGAAUGGCAAAUGGAAAAUUUAUGAUUCAAAUGACACGGGACACGACAACAAUGAUAACGCAAAGAAGCAAAGAAACAAUGUAUGAAAAAUUAUCCUCAGAUGGACUCGUACAUCUGUCAGAACAUGAUCCUAUGACGUCAGUGAGUUUGUGUCAUCCAUUAAUUAUUCUCUGGAUCAAUGAUCCAUGAAGCACAUACCUUUAUUCAGAGCACUAGCCUAAAGCUUUGCCAAGACACCAAGAUAGUAAAACAAGAGAAGCAAAGCAUGCAUGCCCCAUACCUCAUGCUGUGUCUGACUUAUUGUGAGGUUCCACCAUUGAGCACCUAAAUGACAGUGCACCAUAACAACACAUGUGCACACUGCUGGCAGUGAGCAGGCGCAAAACAGUCCGAUUCCAAUGAAAAC
rnacentral:lncRNA from 1 species